rnacentral:tRNA from 1 species
UCUAAGGAAAAACAAAGGGUGGGCACCAUUGCCUGCCGCUGCCCAGCGAAUUUCUUCCAGAUAAUCUUAAAUGGUACACGACAGCUACAGGCGCGUAGCUCAGUUGGUUAGAGCGCACGACUGAUAAUCGUGAGGUCGGCAGUUCAAAUCUGCCCGUGCCUACCAUCUGUUCGGCCGCCUUUGGCUUGCAAUCAUUUUUGUUUUGAAAAAGAAAUGCUUAUUUAUUUCGUUUGUUUGGCAACGACCGUUCAACGAAAUACGCUGUUUGACAAAGUUAGUGAAGACAUCCAAGACCGUGGGAUUUGGCUGUGGCGAUUUCUGGUUUACCAGUGAAUCGUGCAACUAAUCCUGCAAGAAUAGCUUGCAGAUCGCAUGUGAGGGCUUUUGCCUUUACGUA